rnacentral:tRNA from 1 species
GUCAGGAUGGCCGAGCGGUCCAAGGCGCUGCGUUCAGGUCGCAGUUCGGUCUUCCGGGCGUGGGUUCGAAUCCCACUUCUGACA